CAGGGCUGGAAGGUAACUCUGAAGUGAUCUGAAACCAUGACCUCACUUAACAGACCAGAUCAAGGCUGUCCACAGAAACAUAAAUAUCGGUGCCCUUUAUAAAUGGUGAAGAAUGAUGUCUACCCUACUUACUAUAUAAGACUUCAUAUUCUAAGAACAAGGCAGUGUGGAACGAAAGAAAUAAAAAUGAAAGAGAAAAUAAAGCUCAUCCCUGGUCUACCCACUCUGAGGUGAUAUACAGACACCUGCAGCUGACUCCUCUGAAGCCCUUGACAAGUGCAGACGUAUGGGCUCCCUUCCGGGGCUGCCGUAGCCAAUUCUUUAGGAAGCAUUUGAAGCUUUGUAUUGCUGAACUGCUUCCUGGGAGCUUCUGAUACAGGAAACUACUCCAGAGGAUGGAAACUAUUCUGCUUUUUUAUUCAAAGCUGCUUACUUCAUUGAUGCAUAAAACUGAAUAUGAGCUGAAAUUAGGUCGAAAGAUGGUUUGAGGCAAGUUGUGACUGGCCUUGUUUUCCAUGCUAGAUAAUUGAGGUUUUAUGCAAUAGAAACAGGUAGCUAA